rfam:Pragia fontium strain 24613, complete genome.
UAUGUCUGCAAAUCGUGGGGAUGAAGAACCCAAGGUUCGAGUCGAACACAGAGAGACAACGUUGCCAGCGGCAACGGCCCGAAGGGCGAGGCCAAAGGCCGAGUCAUCCUGCACGACCCACCA